AUUGAACGCUGGCGGCAGGCCUAACACAUGCAAGUCGAGCGAGCGGCGGACGGGUGAGUAAUACCUGGGAAUUGCCCAGUAGAGGGGGAUAACCGUUGGAAAAGACUGCUAAUACCGCAUACGAUGGGAUUGCCGAGGUGGGAUUAGCUAGUUGGUGAGGUAAUGGCUCACAAAGGCGACGAUCCCUAGCUGGUCUGAGAGGAUGAGCAGCCACACUGGAACUGAGAAAGGGUCCAGAAUCCUACGGGAGGGAGCAGUGGGGACUAUUGAAAAAUGGGGGAAACCCGGAUGCAGCAAUGCCGCGUGUGUGAAGAAGGCCUUCGGGUUGUAACGCACUUUCAGCGAGGAGGAGUGACUCGCAGAAGAAGCACCGGCUAACUCCGUGCCAGCAGCCGCGGUAAUUC
rnacentral:rRNA from 1 species